AUUGAACGCUGGCGGCAGGCCUAACACAUGCAAGUCGAGCGGAGCGGCGGACGGGUGUGUAAUGCCUAGGAAUCUGCCUGGUAGUGGCGGAUAACGUCCGGUAACGGGCGCUAAUACCGCAUACUAUCAGAUGAGACUAGGUCGGGUUGUCUAGUUGGUGGGGUAAUGGCCUACCAAGGCGACGAUCCGUAACUGGUCUGAGAGGAUGAUCAGUCACACUGGAACUGAGACACGGUCCAGCCUCCUACGGGAGGAAGCAGGGGGGAAUAGUGGACAAUGGGCGAAAGCCUGAUCGAGCCAUGCCGCGUGGGUGAGGAAGGGCUUCGGAUUGUAAAGCACUUUAAGUUGGGAGGCGUUACCAACAGAAUAAGCACCGGCUAACUUCGUGCCAGCAGCCGCGGUAAUAC
rnacentral:rRNA from 1 species